rnacentral:rRNA from 1 species
UACGUAGGGUGCAGGCGUUAAUCGGAAUUACUGGGCGUAAAGCGUGCGCAGGCGGCCUCUUAAGUCAGAUGUGAAAUCCCCCGGGCUUAACCUGGGAACUGCGUUUGAAACUGGGAGGCUCGAGUGUGGAAGAGGGGGGGGUGGAAUUCCAGGUGUAGCAGUGAAAUGCGUAGAGAUGUGGAGGAAUACCGAUGGCGAAGGCAGCCCCCUGGGAUAACACUGACGCUCAUGCACGAAAGCGUGGGGAGCAAACAGG